rnacentral:rRNA from 1 species
GAUGAACGCUGGCGGCGUGCCUAAUACAUGCAAGUCGAGCGAACGGACGAGAAGCUUGCUUCUCUGAUGUUAGCGGCGGACGGGUGAGUAACACGUGGAUAACCUACCUAUAAGACUGGGAUAACUUCGGGAAACCGGAGCUAAUACCGGAUAAUAUUUUGAACCGCAUGGUUCAAAAGUGAAAGACGGUUUUGCUGUCACUUAUAGAUGGAUCCGCGCUGCAUUAGCUAGUUGGUAAGGUAACGGCUUACCAAGGCGACGAUGCGUAGCCGACCUGAGAGGGUGAUCGGCCACACUGGAACUGAGACACGGUCCAGACUCCUACGGGAGGCAGCAGUAGGGAAUAUUCCGCAAUGGGCGAAAGCCUGACGGAGCAACGCCGCGUGAGUGAUGAAGGUCUUCGGAUCGUAAAACUCUGUUAUUAGGGAAGAACAGAUGUGUAAGUAACUGUGCACGUCUUGACGGUACCUAAUCAGAAAGCCACGGCUAACUACGUG